AACGAACGCUGGCGGCAGGCUUAACACAUGCAAGUCGAGCGCACCAUUUAUGGUGAGCGGCAGACGGGUGAGUAAUGUAUGGGAAUCUACCUAUUACUACGGAAUAACACAGAGAAAUUUGUGCUAAUACCGUAUAGUUCCGAGAGGAUAAAGAUUUAUCGGUAAUAGAUGAGCCCAUAUUAGAUUAGCUAGUUGGUAAGGUAAAGGCUUACCAAGGCGACGAUCUAUAGCUGGUCUGAGAGGAUGAUCAGCCACACUGGGACUGAGACACGGCCCAGAC
rnacentral:rRNA from 1 species